rnacentral:rRNA from 1 species
AACGAACGCUGGCGGCAUGCCUAACACAUGCAAGUCGAACGAGACCUUCGGGUCUAGUGGCGCACGGGUGCGUAACGCGUGGGAACCUGCCCUUAGGUUCGGAAUAACUCCCCGAAAGGGGUGCUAAUACCGGAUAAUGUCUUCGGACCAAAGAUUUAUCGCCUUUGGAUGGGCCCGCGUUGGAUUCGCUAGUUGGUAGGGUAAAAGCCUACCAAGGCGACGAUCCAUAGCUGGUCUGAGAGGAUGAUCAGCCACACUGGGACUGAGACACGGCCCAGACUCCUACGGGAGGCAGCAGUGGGGAAUAUUGUACAAUGGGCGAAAGCCUGAUCCAGCAAUGCCGCGUGAGUGAUGAAGGCCUUAGGGUUGUGAAGCUCUUUUACCCGGGAUGAUAAUGACAGUACCGGGAGAAUAAGCUCCGGCUAACUCCGUG